rnacentral:rRNA from 1 species
CCUACGUGGGGCAGCAGUGGGGAAUAUUGCACAAUGGGGGAAACCCUGAUGCAGCGACGCCGCGUGAGUGAAGAAGUAUUUCGGUACGUAAAGCUCUAUCAGCAGGGAAGAAAAAAAGUCCUUUGGACUUUGGACGGUACCUGACCAAGAAGCCCCGGCUAACUACGUGCCAGCAGCCGCGGUAAUACGUAGGGGGCAAGCGUUAUCCGGAUUUACUGGGUGUAAAGGGAGCGUAGACGGCAGCGCAAGUCUGGAGUGAAAUGCCGGGGCCCAACCCCGGAACUGCUUUGGAAACUGUGCAGCGGGAGGGCAGGAGAGGUAAGCGGAAUUCCUAGUGUAGCGGUGAAAGGCGUAGAUAUUAGGAGGAACACCAGUGGCGAAGGCGGCUUACUGGACUGUAACUGACGUUGAGGCUCGAAAGCGUGGGGAGCAAACAGGAUUAGAUACCCUAGUAGUC